UUCAUCUGUCGUUUCUCUCUGGGCAAUUGAAAUUUCUACAGGUUUCCUCUUCUUCUCUCCUUCAUCAUCAUCAAAGACGCCUAACAACUGUUCGAUAUAAUUCCUCAUAGAGAGAAAAAUAAAAAUGUACGUGGUGAAACGUGACGGGAAGAAGGAAACUGUUCGCUUCGAUAAAAUCAUUGUGCGGCUAAAGAAGCUUAGCUAUGGUUUUAGUAUCGAUCACUAUGACCCUGUCCUCAUCGCUGAGACUGCUGCUUCUAUGACCACCAACCAUCCUGAUUACGCCUCCCUUGCUGCUAGAAUCGCUGUCUCCAGUCUCCACAAGAAUUAAGAACUCAUUUUCUGAAACUGUUGCCCAUAUGUUAACGCAAGAUGAAUACUUGAUCAUUGGCGUAACAUUCUUCAUUUUAGAGAGUAUUGGGAUAAGAGAGCCUGUGACUUGCGUAUGACUGGGAUAAACAAUUUUUUUUUUGUGUUGUGAGAUAUUCUAA